GAUGAACGAUGGCGGCGUGCCUAAUACAUGCAAGUCGAGCGAACAGACGAGGAGCUUGCUCCUCUGACGUUAGCGGCGGACGGGUGAGUAACACGUGGAUAACCUACCUAUAAGACUGGGAUAACUUCGGGAAACCGGAGCUAAUACCGGAUAAUAUAUUGAACCGCAUGGUUCAAUAGUGAAAGACGGUUUUGCUGUCACUUAUAGAUGGAUCCGCGCCGCAUUAGCUAGUUGGUAAGGUAACGGCUUACCAAGGCAACGAUGCGUAGCCGACCUGAGAGGGGAAACGGCCAACGUGAAAUGGAAACCCGUCCAGACCCCCUAGGGGAGGACGCAGGGGGAAAUUUUCCGAAAGGGGCGAAAGCCUGACGGAGCAACGCCGGGGGGGGGAUAAAGGUCUUGGGACCGAAAAACCUUUUUAUUGGGAAAAAAAAAAUGUGAAAGAAACUAGGCCCGUCUGAAGGGUACCAAAUCAAAAGGCCCGGGCUAAUUCCGG
rnacentral:rRNA from 1 species